rnacentral:misc_RNA from 1 species
GUAGGUGAACCUGCGGAAGGAUCAUUAAUUACGAAAGCUAUAGCCCCUCCGGGGGUUAUUGCAUCCACCCUUUGUCUACGUGUACCUCUGUUGUUUCCUCGGCGGGCUUGCCCGCCGCUAGGAACCCCUUAAACUCUUGUAUUUACAGUAUUAAAAUCUCUGAUAACUAUUUAAAUUAUUACAACUUUCAACAAUGGAUCUCUUGGUUCUG